AAGUGUCUGGAUUCCAGGCCUGUCCUGCAUAGUCAGCAGUCACUCUGGUCCUUCCUGGGCACGCCUAGAAGAACCAGGAAGUGAGAGUGGGGGUGGCAGAGAAGAAACCAGAAAGCAGAUGCUGAAAGAGGGAAGAGAGCAGGACAAGAAGUGGAGGCGGGAGAGGACUGGAGGUGGACACGGGGCUCGCUGCACCCAGAAGAGGCAGCACAUGGUGACUGGAGGAAGGGAGGGCCUGAGAGAACCCGCAAAGGAACUUGAGAUGCCCAGAUCUGAAUGUGUCAAACACGGCGGCAUUACCUGGAGAGACAAGGUCCCUCUCACAGCAACCACCACGGCCUCUUUUCUGUGAUCCAGAACCACUAUGAAGGGCAGCUCAUAGACCUGGAAGAGAAGAAGCCAGCACAAGGCCUGACCCAUGGGACACAGAGCAUCACCACCACCAAAGAAACCUGCGUGUCUGUGACCUGGUUUCUCUAUCCUCCUGCCUCCUGCCUCAAUCCCAAGUGCUGGGGUUGUACACACCAUCACACCUGGCAACUUCAGGAGGGUGAAGGGCAGAAACCACUCCAGGGCAAGCACAGGAUGCAAUUUCAACUCCUUUCAUCAGGAACCUUCCAUCAAAGCCAAGAUGGCUCAUGGGUAAAGGUGCGUGGUGAGUGAUUUCACACGAGUUCACUCUGAGAUCCCAUGUGAGGCAUGUGCUGUCUUCUGACCUCCACGUUUGCUGUGGCAUACACGUACCACACACAUCUAAGGUGUAUGUUAAUGAUAAAUAAAAUCUGAAAUAUUUCCAUCCGAAAUGCAG